UACGUAGGGCGCAAGCGUUAUCCGGAAUUAUUGGGCGUAAAGAGCUCGUAGGCGGCUUGUCGCGUCGGAUGUGAAAGCCCGGGGCUUAACUCCGGGUCUGCAUUCGAUACGGGCAGGCUAGAGUUCGGUAGGGGAGAUCGGAAUUCCUGGUGUAGCGGUGAAAUGCGCAGAUAUCAGGAGGAACACCGGUGGCGAAGGCGGUUCUCUGGGCCUGACCUGACGCUGAGGAGCGAAAGCGUGGGGAGCGAACAGG
rnacentral:rRNA from 1 species